rnacentral:rRNA from 1 species
GUUGUAUGGUUAAGUGACUAAGCGUACACGGUGGAUGCCUUGGCAGUCAGAGGCGAUGAAGGACGUAUUAACUUGCGAUAAGCCCAGAUUAGGUAGUAAAAACCANUUGAGUCUGGGAUUUCCGAAUGGGGAAACCCACUAGCAUAAGCUAGUAUCGCUGCGUGAAUACAUAGCGCAGCGAGGCGAACCGGGGGAACUGAAACAUCUAAGUACCCCGAGGAAAAGAAAUCAACCGAGAUUCCGAAAGUAGCGGCGAGCGAAAUUGGACUAGCCCUUAAGCUUUUUAUGCGUCAGGUGAAACUUCUGGAAAGUUGUGCGAUACAGGGUGAUAGCCCCGUAACCGGCAACGCAUNUAAAGUGAAAUCGAGUAGGGCGGGACACGUGAUAUCCUGUCUGAAUAUGGGGGGACCAUCCUCCAAGGCUAAAUACUACUGACUGACCGAUAGUGAACCAGUACCGUGAGGGAAAGGCGAAAAGAACCCCUGUGAGGGGAGUGAAAUAGAACCUGAAACCGUGUACGUACAAGCAGUAGGAGCACCUUCGUGGUGUGACUGCGUACCUUUUGUAUAAUGGGUCAGCGACUUAUAUUCAGUGGCAAGGUUAACCAUCUAGGGGAGCCGUAGGGAAACCGAGUCUUAACUGGGCGUUCAGUCUCUGGAUAUAGACCCGAAACCAGGUGAUCUAGCCAUGGGCAGGUUGAAGGUUGAGUAACAUCAACUGGAGGACCGAACCGACUAAUGUUGAAAAAUUAGCGGAUGACUUGUGGCUAGGGGUGAAAGGCCAAUCAAACCUGGAGAUAGCUGGUUCUCCCCGAAAGCUAUUUAGGUAGCGCCUCGGACGAAUACUACUGGGGGUAGAGCACUGUUAAGGCUAGGGGGUCAUCCCGACUUACCAACCCUUUGCAAACUCCGAAUACCAGUAAGUACUAUCCGGGAGACACACGGCGGGUGCUAACGUCCGUCGUGGAGAGGGAAACAACCCAGACCGCCAGCUAAGGUCCCAAAUUACUACUAAGUGGGAAACGAUGUGGGAAGGCUCAGACAGCCAGGAUGUUGGCUUAGAAGCAGCCAUCAUUUAAAGAAAGCGUAAUAGCUCACUGGUCGAGUCGGCCUGCGCGGAAGAUGUAACGGGGCUAAGUAGUAAACCGAAGCUGCGGCAAUGCACUUUAGUGCAUUGGGUAGGGGAGCGUUCUGUAAGCGGUUGAAGGUGUGUGGUAACGCAUGCUGGACGUAUCAGAAGUGCGAAUGCUGACAUGAGUAACGAUAAAGGGGGUGAAAAACCUCCUCGCCGGAAGACCAAGGGUUCCUGUCCAACGUUAAUCGGGGCAGGGUAAGUCGACCCCUAAGGCGAGGCCGAAAGGCGUAGUCGAUGGGAAACGGGUUAAUAUUCCCGUACUUCUUACAAUUGCGAUGGGGGGACGGAGAAGGCUAGGUGGGCCUGGCGACGGUUGUCCAGGUUCAAGUGCGUAGGCUUAAGAGUUAGGUAAAUCCGGCUCUUUNUAAGGCUGAGACACGACGUCGAGCUACUACGGUAGUGAAGUCAUUGAUGCCAUGCUUCCAGGAAAAGCCUCUAAGCUUCAGAUUGUAAGGAAUCGUACCCCAAACCGACACAGGUGGUCGGGUAGAGAAUACCAAGGCGCUUGAGAGAACUCGGGUGAAGGAACUAGGCAAAAUGGUACCGUAACUUCGGGAGAAGGUACGCUCUCGACGGUGAAGUCCCUNGCGGAUGGAGCUAUUGAGAGUCGCAGAUACCAGGUGGCUGCAACUGUUUAUUAAAAACACAGCACUGUGCAAAAUCGUAAGAUGACGUAUACGGUGUGACGCCUGCCCGGUGCCGGAAGGUUAAUUGAUGGGGUUAGACUUCGGUCGAAGCUCUUGAUCGAAGCCCCGGUAAACGGCGGCCGUAACUAUAACGGUCCUAAGGUAGCGAAAUUCCUUGUCGGGUAAGUUCCGACCUGCACGAAUGGCGUAAUGAUGGCCACGCUGUCUCCACCCGAGACUCAGUGAAAUUGAAAUCGCUGUGAAGAUGCAGUGUACCCGCGGCUAGACGGAAAGACCCCGUGAACCUUUACUACAGCUUGGCACUGAACAUUGACCCUACAUGUGUAGGAUAGGUGGGAGGCUUUGAAGCACNGUCGCUAGAUUGUGUGGAGCCGUCCUUGAAAUACCACCCUUGUAGUGUUGAUGUUCUAACGUUGACCCCUAAUCGGGGUUGCGGACAGUGCCUGGUGGGUAGUUUGACUGGGGCGGUCUCCUCCCAAAGCGUAACGGAGGAGCACGAAGGUGGGCUAAUCACGGUUGGACAUCGUGAGGUUAGUGCAAUGGCAUAAGCCCGCUUGACUGCGAGAAUGACGGUUCGAGCAGGUGCGAAAGCAGGUCAUAGUGAUCCGGUGGUUCUGAAUGGAAGGGCCAUCGCUCAACGGAUAAAAGGUACUCCGGGGAUAACAGGCUGAUACCGCCCAAGAGUUCAUAUCGACGGCGGUGUUUGGCACCUCGAUGUCGGCUCAUCACAUCCUGGGGCUGAAGUCGGUCCCAAGGGUAUGGCUGUUCGCCAUUUAAAGUGGUACGCGAGCUGGGUUUAGAACGUCGUGAGACAGUUCGGUCCCUAUCUGCCGUGGGCGUUGGAAGAUUGAAGGGGGCUGCUCCUAGUACGAGAGGACCGGAGUGGACGAACCUCUGGUGUUCGGGUUGUGUCGCCAGACGCAUUGCCCGGUAGCUAAGUUCGGAAUCGAUAACCGCUGAAAGCAUCUAAGCGGGAAGCGAGCCCUGAGAUGAGUCUUCCCUGAUACUUUAAGUAUCCUAAAGGGUUGUUCGAGACUAGAACGUUGAUAGGCAGGGUGUGUAAGCGUUGUGAGGCGUUGAGCUAACCUGUACUAAUUGCCCGUGAGGCUUAACCAUACAACACCCAAGGGGUUU